CCAGGAUCCAGAAAACAAUAGCUAUCAGUCUCGAGAUAUCGCGCUGCUUCCAGGGUAUUUAUGUAGCCACCUGUUGAUUGGGUGCUAUAUACAGUACUUCACUCACUCAAUCAUCUCACGCCCCGCACGGCAGUAGAAAAACUCGAAUUGGACUCAGUCAGUCAACGGUCGAGGAGCGAUACAGGAAAAAGAGCUUGUUUAAGUUGCGAGCUUGAGUCGGACAGCAAACCAAGCACUCGUUUCGCAGUGGUUGCCAGCCGUUGUAGGUACCCAAUGAGGGCAGCUAGAUACAACCUACGGGGAUAACACUUAUCACGGAGUAACAUGCUCAUGACCAUACUGCUAUUUCCCAAUGGCCUCCCUCGUCCGGUGACGCUGGUGGACGAGAGGGAAACAUGAGGACGAAAGCAAGAAAGCAUAAGGCGCAUUAGCAGCCACUUUCCACAUGUGGUUUCCGGUAGUCGAUCCAGGAGAACAGCUCUGAAGCCAGCCAUAUCUGGAGCCCUGCGAUGAGUUUGGGAGAAUGAAUGUGCAACACCGUUAUAUUUGGUCCGGGGUGCAAGAGAGCAACUUCUAAUAAAUAAUAAUAAGAAGAAGAAGAAGAAGAAGAAGAAGAAGAAGAAGAAGAAGAAGAAGAAGAAGAAUGAUAAUAA
rnacentral:sRNA from 1 species